GUGACAGCCGCCGCGGUAAGACGGAGGGGGCUAGCGUUGUUCGGAAUGACUGGGCGUAAAGGGCGCGUAGGCGGUUUUUUAAGUGAGGCGUGAAAGCCCUGGGCUUAACCCAGGAAUUGCGUUUCAGACUGGAAGACUUGAGUACGAGAGAGGUAAGUGGAAUUCCUAGUGUAGAGGUGAAAUUCGUAGAUAUUAGGAAGAACACCAGUGGCGAAGGCGGCUUACUGGCUCGUAACUGACGCUGAGGCGCGAAAGCGUGGGGAGCAAACAGGAUUAGAAACCCUUGUAGUCC
rnacentral:rRNA from 1 species